rnacentral:rRNA from 1 species
CGCGGCCUAUCAGCUUGUUGGUGGGGUAAUGGCCUACCAAGGCGACGACGGGUAGCCGGCCUGAGAGGGCGACCGGCCACACUGGGACUGAGACACGGCCCAGACUCCUACGGGAGGCAGCAGUGGGGAAUAUUGCGCAAUGGGCGAAAGCCUGACGCAGCGACGCCGCGUGAGGGACGACGGCCUUCGGGUUGUAAACCUCUUUCAGCAGGGACGAAGCGAAAGUGACGGUACCUGCAGAAGAAGCACCGGCCAACUACGUGCCAGCAGCCGCGGUAAUACGUAGGGUGCAAGCGUUGUCCGGAAUUAUUGGGCGUAAAGAGCUCGUAGGCGGUCUGUCACGUCGGAUGUGAAAACUCGGGGCUCAACCCCGAGCCUGCAUUCGAUACGGGCAGACUUGAGUUCGGCAGGGGAGACUGGAAUUCCUGGUGUAGCGGUGAAAUGCGCAGAUAUCAGGAGGAACACCGGUGGCGAAGGCGGGUCUCUGGGCCGAUACUGACGCUGAGGAGCGAAAGCGUGGGGAGCGAACAGGAUUAGAUACCCUGGUAGUCCACGCCGUAAACGGUGGGCGCUAGGUGUGGGGAACUUUCCACGUUCUCCGUGCCGCAGCUAACGCAUUAAGCACCCCGCCUGGGGAGUACGGA